rnacentral:rRNA from 1 species
GAGUUUGAUCAUGGCUCAGAGCGAACGCUGGCGGCAGGCUUAACACAUGCAAGUCGAGCGGGCGUAGCAAUACGUCAGCGGCAGACGGGUGAGUAACACGUGGGAACGUACCUUUUGGUUCGGAACAACUGAGGGGAAACUUCAGCUAAAUACCGGAUAAGCCCUAACGGGGAAAGAUUUAUCGCCGAAAGAUCGGCCCGCGUCUGAUUAGCUAGUUGGUGAGGUAAUGGCUCACCAAGGCGACGAUCAGUAGCUGGUCUGAGAGGAUGAUCAGCCACACUGGGACUGAGACACGGCCCAGACUCCUACGGGAGGCAGCAGUGGGGAAUAUUGGACAAUGGGGCAACCCUGAUCCAGCCAUGCCGCGUGAGUGAUGAAGGCCCUAGGGUUGUAAAGCUCUUUUGUGCGGGAAGAUAAUGACGGUACCGCAAGAAUAAGCCCGACUAACUUCGUGCCAGCAGCAGCCGCCGUAAC